AUCCAUCUGACGAGUCCCAAAUAGGACGAAAUGUGAUUCAAACUGGAU
rnacentral:hammerhead_ribozyme from 1 species